rnacentral:rRNA from 1 species
GACGUAGGGGGCCAGCGUUGUUCGGAAUUACUGGGUGUAAAGGGUUCGUAGGCGGUGUGGCAAGUCGGGAGUGAAAUCUCUGGGCUCAACCCAGAGACUGCUUCCGAAACUGCUGUGCUUGAGUGUGAGAGAGGCUCGUGGAAUUGCAGGUGUAGCGGUGAAAUGCGUAGAUAUUGGGAAGAACACCUGAGGCGAAGGCGGGUUGCUGGGCCGACACUGACGCUGAGGCGCGAAAGCCAGGGGAGCAAACGGG